rnacentral:rRNA from 1 species
UACGAAGGGUGCAAGCGUUAAUCGGAAUUACUGGGCGUAAAGGGUGCGUAGGCGGUUAGUUAAGUGCGUCGUGAAAGCCCCGGGCUCAACCUGGGAAUGGCGAUGGAAACUGGCGGGCUGGAGUAUGGCAGAGGGGGGUGGAAUUCCGCGUGUAGCAGUGAAAUGCGUAGAGAUGCGGAGGAACACCGAUGGCGAAGGCAGCCGCCUGGGCCAAUACUGACGCUCAGGCACGAAAGCGUGGGGAGCAAACAGG